AGACACAUCCAUUCAAUGUGUCUGUGCCUGUCCCACCAUAUUCCCCAAACAAACUCAUUUGCUCCUUGAGCUGAUGUCAUCAUCAUACAACUGGUUUCUCAAACUGGAAAUAUGAGUCGUUAUCUUCCUUCCUCUCUUUCACCCUCCAAGAACAGUUGGCUACCAUAUCCUGUCAAUCCUAUUGCACAGAAACAUUGCUCAAAUAUAAUCCCUCUUUCUCCACUGCCAGUGUCUUAGCUCUGAAUGUUUUCUGUCCUACUACAUAUUGCUCAGCAUAUUAACUGGCCUCCCUGCUGGAUCCUCUCCUCAGUUUCUUCCCGUUAAAAGUCACAAAAACUAUGAAUUUUCCACACUGCACUUGUGGAUAACCAUUGCCUAGCUACCUGAUUAUCAGGUCCAAACUUGCAUGUUGAAAGGACCCUUCAGAACUUAUUUGCAAUUUGCUUCUCAACCCCUGUUACUCCCUAUACUACGUGAGCUUCAGAAUCACCCAUGUCAUUUUACAGCUCUGUACCUUUCCACCUGAUGUUUCUACCUCCAGGAACUGCCCUCACCUCUUCUCACAAAGCUAAUGUUUUGUUACAUUUCAGGACCCAGCUCAAAUGUCAUAGCCUUUCUUGGCUUCCACUGUCAGUGAAGUGAACCCUCUCCUAUGCUCUCGCAUCAUUGUCAUAAUGAUCAUGUAUGUGUGUGUGUACCAAGCUGAAAGUUCCGUUCUGGUUAUUUGCCAUCCAAAGAUGAAAAGGUAUUGACAAAGGAAAAUGUCUAGAAUCUUCCCCAGAUGCCAAAAUAUAGCUUGUAUAUAUCGACAAUUAAAAGUCUUCACAGAUGUCAUUGCCUUCUGUGGAGCCUGGGAGAUUUGUCAUCCGACUCCAGAAAGCACACCUAGCAGUACGAAGUGACUGGUUCAGUGGCUGGAGGAAGAAUCUGGAGGGAGAGAGGGUCUGGACAAAGGAAGAAGACCUUUUGAUCAACAGGACGUACUUCCUUGAGGGACUUAAGAACCUGGUUCUUAACCUGUUGUCCCGAGCUCAUCUGGGCCCAACUCAUCUGUCAUCCUGGCCUCAUGUGUUCCUGUUCUGCAUCCAACUUGGUGGCUGCAGCUGAUUACCUGAAGGACCCAGGCACCCAGGUGACAUCAGAACAGGAGAAAGAGCCAUACAGGGAGAACACUGUGUGGACCACAUGGAAGAAUCCAGCAGCAAGCCCUGGAAUGCGAAGAACUUGUGCUCACCACCAGAAACAAAAAACCGUCAGAGACGAGGAACUGCUCUGAGUGAUAGGCCCUAUCACAGCUGACAGUGAGCCCUCACCAGGGCUGGAAGUAACAAAUGAGGAGAAAGCCACUGGAAUUGCAUCUUAGGGGAUUGGAUAAAGGAGGCUGAGCACUCCCACUUCACUGGUCUAACAAGUUUCUACCAAAUGUACAAUUUUCGUCCAUAUUUUUCAACCACAAUUUAAAGAUGAUUUGUGCAACUUGGGCAACUGGCAUUUAACCAAAGCUUUAAACUUUAGUGGCCUGUUAGUUUCUCUGAUUGAGACUUGGUGUGUUGAGUGGCAUAUGUGUGAAUGCAAACAUAGCAUAGAAUUUGUUCACAUAAGGAACUUAGGAAGAAGAAUCUGGUAAGUAGGCAAGGGCAAAGAAUGUUUCAUUAACUAUAUAUGCAUUCAAACACACAGUUUGAACUUACAUUUCUUGACCUCUCUUUGCAUUAAUUCUCUCUCAUGAAAACAGGGCAUAUAGUAGUAUUUAAAACAUUAAACUCCUGUAAGGAUGAAAUGAAUCAAUACUUUAAAAGAGUUUUCAAGAGUGUUUUAUAUGGAACAAUCACUCAAUAGAUGCAGAUGAAACUAAUAUCCAUAUGAACAAUGUUUGCUGUUAGAUUGUUUAUUAUUUGGGGUGCUGUUGAACUUAUCAUUAUGGGAUU